UUGGGCGUGGGUGGGUGAGGGGAGAGAGCUCAGGCCCCAGCCUCAGCCUCCAACUCCAGGGAACAGAGACCCUCCAGCCGCCUCCGCCUCUGGAUUCCCUUGCCUUGCUCCCCUCAGUGUCUCCGGCAGGGGGGCGUGACUGGGUGGGGAGGGAGGAGGAUGCCACUUGCGGGUGGCUUCUUGACAGGAACUGAAGAAACUCCAAGAAGAGAAACGGCAAUCUGAAAAAAGAACCCAGCCAUCUCGGGAGUCGCCGCGGGAGUCGCAGCCACCGCCGGCGCCAUCACGGUCGCCACCCGCGCAGCCGCAGCCUCCGCAGGUACCCGAGCGGCCGCCGCCGCCGCCGCCUCAGCCAAAGCCACAAAAUGCCCAGGACCCUCUUACUGAGCGCACCUCCCGGUACAUUCUCCAGGAUUCCCAAAGGCCAGGCGCCCACAAGGACAGAUUCCAAGGACGGGUGAUGAACCCUCAAGGUGCAGGUUUCGGGAAAUGUAGCCCAGAUACACACAUCAAGUACCCACGAUUCACGGUGAGACGGACUCAGAGUGUGAGCGGCAGCUACGGUUUGGCUGCGUGUCUGCCCGCGCUCGCGUGUUAGUGCAGGUGGAGUCUAGAAAGGCUUCCUCGGCGGGAAUCGGGAGAGGGGACUGAAGUUAUUCCGUCACUUCUGGAUGGCCCGUUCCUCCCCUCCACGCCCCCAUAAAGAUGUCUCUGUAGGCCCUGUUGCUCAGCACUCAGUAUAAGUGAAGGAGCUGACGAUCUAGUUGGAAAGAUAGGACGGGUGCCAGAGAAGCAAAAUCAAGGGGGCCGUUUGAAACGCGGAUGGGGUGGAGCCAGCUGCAGCGGGAGGACGGUGAGACGUGAAGUCAGGGCUUGUGGUCUCCGUCAGGAUCACCACUCUCCGGUAGCACGACUCAGAUCUCUGAGCCUCAGCUGCCCCACCCGUAAAAUGAGACUGAUAAUACCCCACCUCCUCCACAGAGGUGUCACGAGCACUGAAUUAAAAGGGAAAGCAUCCAAAGCACUUAGCUUACGGCCUGGCUCGUUGUAGACCGUCAAACCCAGGAAGACGCUUUUUUGAGAGUCUUGAGAAUUACAUGAAACAGGAUACGCUUUGGAAAGAAGCUUUUUUUUUUGUUUGUCUCUGACUCAGGCGCAAAGGAUGGGAGAACCUGAUCCCGGCCCUUUAAGACGAGGACUGGGCUGCUGCAUCAUCUCACUUUGAUUACUCGGGCUUCAGAGGCCUUAAGACAAUGUUCUCAAACCAGCAGGCCCGGGAGCUGCUAACUAACCUGUUCUGCCUCCUGUCUCUCCCUCUUCUCAGUCAACGAACUACAUCCAGCAGUGGUGAUUCAGAGACAGACCCCCGAGACCCCACUGGCCGGCCAUCAGCAAACAUCAGAUGAGCAGCCCCGUCUUCCUACCUCCCAGCAGCAUCUCCACUUCAAAAGCCAAGCCCUCCUGAUCCACUCUGGUAGGGGAGGCUAGCUGGGAAUCACGUGUGAUUUCUUCCUGCAAAGACUCAAGAGACUGGCUGGGCUCCGUGAGACAGAGGUGAGGGGGAGGGGCCAGGAAGACCCACGAAGAGGAUGGAGAGGGUGCGAGAAGACAGUGGAGGGCGAUUCCAUGCUUCUCCAGGCAAAGCCAACGGGAGAACUUGGCCUUGGGCCCCCCAGCUCUACAGCUCCACUACUGGCCCUUACUUAGCAGUGAUAUCACAGCCUGUUGGGGGCUCAGGUUUACGACUCUCGCUGGAGCCACCAGCCCUUCCUCCUGGCCGAUGCUUAUCGAGAUGCACCUGGGGAAGCGUGGGUGGCAUCACACCAGAGCAGACCUGGGACCUUGGGCAGCAUCAGGAAGAAGUGGCACGCAGGGCCCCCCCCAAGUCCAGUGUCGUGCCUGGUCCACGGUGGGCACUCCGCUGUUGAACGGAGGGUGGUUGGAAGGGAUGGAGAGAAAGAACUCGGAGGAAAGGAGGACUGUAGCCUCAGGCACAGGACACCUGACCUUGGGAAGAGGGGACUCGCCCCCCGCCCCCACCAAAUCCACAGGCCUCUUCCUCCCUGGGUCUCAGCCUUUCCACGUAGCAGAGACAACCCAGAGGCUCUGGAGGCCCCAGGCAGCCGCCUCACCUCUUCCUGAAACUGACACCUGGGGUCCCCCAGCCCUGCUCCCUCUGCCACUCUUGACUGGUGAGGGGGAUGCCUGGGUCCUUUCACUGUAGCGUCUCACCUUUGGGUGAGACUGAAGGAGCCUCUCUGCAGUGUUUCCUGAGAGGAGCAGUUGGGGGAAGCGAAGGAGCGGGGGGCGCACAGAACAGGAGCAUUAAAGUUGGGAGGGGCUCAGAGACACACAACGAGGGAAGGGGAGCGAGCGAGCUCCUGGGAGCGGUCUCCCAGAAGGCAGAGAGGCCGGGCGUGUUCUCGAGGGGCUCAGGGACUGGGGAAGAGACCUUGAUGCCCACUUGGAUAUUAAGAAACAGGCUGUGAGAUGGGGAGCGUCCACCGGCUCCCUUCCCACUCACAGGAGCCUUUUAUUUUCCUUCCUUAAACACGGUUAAGCACAGCUGAUUGACUCCAAUAUAAAUCCAUUACAUUUGGCGAACUCCACCCAGCGUGAGCUCCAGCCUGGCCCCCGUGGACUUCCGUGCUCUUACCAGCACCACCUCGACGCCAGUUACCCAGGCGUGAAAGCGUGCGGACAGCACGAACUCCUUCCUUCCCCUCAUCCCCCCGGCCGGCUCCUCAACAGGUUCUGGCCCCACGUGCCCUUCUCCGCCCUUCCUACUGCAACCUCAGCUUUCCCUGCUACUCAAGCUCACCUCUCUGCCUGUCUGAGUGACGGAAACCGGUAACCGCCUUUAG